AACGAACGCUGGCGGCAUGCCUAACACAUGCAAGUCGAACGAGACCUUCGGGUCUAGUGGCGCACGGGUGCGUAACGCGUGGGAACCUGCCUUUAGGUUCGGAAUAACUCCCCGAAAGGGGUGCUAAUACCGGAUAAUGUCUUCGGACCAAAGAUUUAUCGCCUUUGGAUGGGCCCGCGUUGGAUUAGCUAGUUGGUAGGGUAAAAGCCUACCAAGGCGACGAUCCAUAGCUGGUCUGAGAGGAUGAUCAGCCACACUGGGACUGAGACACGGCCCAGACUCCUACGGGAAGCAGCAGUGGGGAAUAUUGGACAAUGGGCGAAAGCCUGAUCCAGCAAUGCCGCGUGAGUGAUGAAGGCCUUAGGGUUGUAAAGCUCUUUUACCCGGGAUGAUAAUGACAGUACCGGGAGAAUAAGCUCCGGCUAACUCCGUG
rnacentral:rRNA from 1 species